ensembl:lncRNA
GAAGAAUUCAUGGUACAAACAACUUUUAAAAUCUUUCAUUUACUAGAACACAUUUUAAUAGCACUAUUACACAAUAUGAAACGAGACCUGAAGAAAUGAAGGUUAAAAUUUCAACUUACCAAACUGUAAUUUCUUCAUAACAGCCACAUAUUUUUCUUCAAGCGAUUUCAAUACUGAUAAAGGUUUGGGUUUCAUAGCCACCUUCUUUGAACAUUCACCUAGUUUUUUUUCUCUUGAUUUGCCUGCCGUAAACUGGUAGUGGCUGCAUGCACAAUCUCAGCAGUCUUCUGGAUGUCCGGUACCAACAGUGUAAGUCCUUCUGGUUCUUGAUCAGAUGCAUCUGGUUUUACUCCUGUUUUAACAUUUUCCCUUUUAGAUCUGAAACGGUUGGUGUAGGUAUCAACACACGUCUUCAUUUUGGCUAAUAAUGUACCAACAGAAGUCUGGCACUCUGACUGUUCUUCUUCCUCUUCACCAUUCUCUGUAGAAAGAGGCAACAGUAGGGGCACCAUGGAUGUACAAGAAGCAAUGGCCCGGAGCAAUUCCAGCAGAGCUCGAUAGAGUGGCACAUGUCUUGCCAUAUCAAGAACUGUAAAAGGAAAGGGAAAAGCAUAAAAUGAGAACAUGUGUGCAAUAUACAAGUCCACAGCCAUGUAGCUUCUACUCAGAUCUUAAGAUUGAUUGGUUACUUGGUAAAUGAGCUAAUGCUGAUGUUUAUGAAGCACCACGUGCUAAGUAUAAUAAUCAUUAGUUCAAAUGUUUUAUUUAUUUUUUUGAGAGAGAGAUUGAGCGCGCAUGUGUGCGGUGCUUGAGGGAGAGGUGAAUCUAAAGCAGGUUCCAUGCUCAGGGUGGAGCCUGAUGCUUAACUGACCUAGCCACCCAAGCACCCCUCCAAUGUUUUCUUAAAAGCACAUGUAUUGAAGAAUAAAUGCCCCACUCUAAGAACAUAUACCACAUCUACAAUUUUUAUAAGUUGUUUUGCUAGGUUUUGUAGUUUUCUUCCAACUGGAAUUUACUUUUGUGAUCAUGUGAGAUAAAGACUUUAACAGGGGCACCUACGUGGUUCAGUCGGUUAAGCGGCUGACUCAUUUUAGCUCAGGUCAUGAUCUCAUGGUUUGUGAGACUGAGCCCUGUAUAUGGGGCUCUGCACUGACAGUGCAAACUGUAACUGUUUUUUUUAAGUGUAUUUAUUUAUUUUGAGAGAGAGAGAGAGAGAGAGAGAGAGAAUGCCUGCAGAGAGUGAGAGAGCAUCUCCAAAAAGGCUCCACCCAGCAUAGAGCCUGACUCAGGCUCAAUCCCACAACAGCGAGACUCUUUUUUUUUUUUUUUAAAGUAAGCUCUACACUCAGUGUGGGGCUUGAACUCAUGACCCUGAGAUCAAGGGUUGCGUGUUCUACUAAGCCGGCCAGAUACCCUAACAACUUUUUUCCCAUCCCAGUUACUGAAUAAAGUUAUGCCAUAAAUAUUCACUGAAAACAUGCUGCUUGACAGGCUGAGAAUACAGCAGUGAAGAAAAUAAACAAAAAUCCCUGCUCUCAUGUAGCUUACAUUCUAUGUAGAGGGCAAAUAAGUAAAAAAAAAUUUUCAGAUGCUAACAGGGACUCUGACUGCUACACACACAAAGACUGAAACCGGGAAGGAGAAGUGGAGGAGUACCUACUGGAGGCAGAAAUUGGUUCACAGCCCACAGACCUAUAC